ensembl:lncRNA
UUUCAAGACUCUUUGAGGAAGUACUACGGACCGCUCAUGUCAUGUUUCUAUGCGUUUGAAAUCCAAAACGCAGGCGGUGGCAGAAGAGUCACUGGAUGUGUGUAAUGAUUAGCGAGGACUAUAACUGGAAGGCUCAAACUACCUGGGACAGAUGCCAAAUGCUGACAAAGGCAAUCAUUGCAUUCUCGGGGCAAGCAAAAUCAACUCUUUUGUCCUCUUGCGCUUCUUUUGGGAGGGUUAUUUAUAACUCCUCGAGAAACCACCGAAUGCAUUGACUAAAUGCUUAAGGGGUCGGUCACAUGCUUUGGCUAAAUGGAAUAAAAAAUCAUUUUCUGUCUUUCACUUUGCAUCCUGUGCCAAAGUGGGCAGGGAGAAAGAGCUCGUGGUGAGGUGGGUGAAACGGAGGCCGCUGUACGUGCUCUUUCUUCAGCCACAACCCCGUGGAAGAGCAUGUUUGGUGGUAGCACGUUUCUAGGUCUCUCUCCCCGAGAUAGGCGUAGUAUGUGCAUAAGUCUACUCUUCUCGCCGCCAUGACCCUGCCUUGUGUUCUUUGAUGUUGAAGCCUCUAGUCUGCAGCAGCUCUGGCUCUCUUGUUCACUGUUGUCUUCCUCUUGUAAACGUGUCUGCUUCACCCCUGAGUCCAUGCCUCGGAUUCCGCCAUUUCUACUACACUAAACAAUUUUCGGACAAAUCAGUUGUUUAUUUACAUUUGAUAAAUGUUUUUAGGCUCGAAGCUAUUAUUUUAAAAAAGGGGGGGGGAGUAUUGUUGUUAUUAUUUAAAAAAAAAAAGAAGUUCUUUUCACAAUUAGGUACGCGAUCCUUCAGAAAGCAUGUAUGUUCUUUUAGUUUUUGUUCAUUUUGUGCAUUUGAUUGUAGGGUUUGAGUUUGUUUAAGGAUUUGAAUGCAUUUGAACAUCCAAAUAGAGUUUAGGUGCUGCCUUAAUGUUUUUAAAGGGAAAUUAACAGUGAUGUAUUUGGAUAUGAUGCUUAUGUUUCAUGAAUGCCCUAUAAAUUCCCAUUAUGUAAAAGUUCUGU